GGGAAGCCGGCUCCUGUCAUCAUGGCGGAUAACAGAAAUUAUUAAGUUAUAGUGGAGCGAAAUGAAGAAACCAUAAAAGCUAUAAUACUUACGCGCAAAGAAUAUCAAAACUGACCAAAACCAAAACUGUCUUUACUGUGUGUCACACCGGAAGAAGAUAAGGCUGAAUAACUUACCCACGUCGCGACUGGCUAACGUUAGCUUAGCAAAGUGAAUUUUAGCUUUGCUGCUAAGGAAAGGCCUAAUGAAAACGCCACAUCUAAAAGCUUCUAAGGUUACUAACGCUACAUGGCGAGCUGCUGAAAGUGUACAAGACUUAAAUGGACUGUAACUAUUUUGUGGCCGGGAAGCCUGAGAAACUGCAGGAAACCCACGAAACAUGCAAACUCCACACAGAGGGGCCUUGAUUGAAACCAGGGACCAUCAAGCUGUGAGGCAACAAUGCUAACCACUGCACCACCGUUCCACCCAGUUAAGCGUGUUACCCUCAUAAAAUGGUAAAUUGACGUUCUCCCACUUCAGUAUUUGUGCAAAAUAUAAUCUUAUAUAAUAGAGACACUGCUGAAAGUAUUUUGUUAAUGCUUUGGAUAGCACCAGGCUAGCUGUUGCCCCCCUGUUGCCAGUAUGUAUGUUACAUCAAGCUAAUCGGCUGCUGGCUAUAACUUCCAACUCUUUAUCCCAUUAUCCAAAAUGUUGUCAUACACCUCAGAAAAGAUCUGAAAUAGAGUAGCCUACUUGAGGAAAUAUACUUUGUUAUACCCAGCAUCACUGGUUUUCCACUGUCACAAUGCUGAAAUAAGCAUUUUUGUUAUAAAGAUGGAACGACAUA